GACGAACGCUGGCGGCGUGCUUAACACAUGCAAGUCGAACGGUGAUGCUCCAGCUUGCUGGAGUGGAUCAGUGGCGAACGGGUGAGUAACACGUGAGCAACCUGCCCCAGACUCUGGAAUAAGCGCUGGAAACGGCGUCUAAUACUGGAUACGAAACUGGCCCGCAUGGGCAUGGUUUGGAAAGUUUUUCGGUUUGGGAUGGGCUCGCGGCCUAUCAGCUUGUUGGUGAGGUAAAGGCUCACCAAGGCGACGACGGGUAGCCGGCCUGAGAGGGCGACCGGCCACACUGGGACUGAGACACGGCCCAGACUCCUACGGGAGGCAGCAGUGGGGAAUAUUGCACAAUGGGCGAAAGCCUGAUGCAGCGACGCCGCGUGAGGGAUGACGGCCUUCGGGUUGUAAACCUCUUUCAGCAAGGAAGAAGCGAAAGUGACGGUACCUGCAGAAGAAGCACCGGCUAACUACGUG
rnacentral:rRNA from 1 species